CAGUUGGCAAAAUUUGUUAUAAAUGCAUUAGUAAAGGGAACAUUGGAGGGGAACCAAGGACUGGGGCAAUGGCUUCUAUACCAUGUGGAGUUUGUCCACGGAUACGUCAAUGUACACCUGAUGGCAUCAUCUCUCCUCAAACUUGUGUCUACUAUAGCAAGUGGUUGGAUUUUUAAUUUGAUUGUUUCAGCUAAAAAAAUUCAGGCAUGGUUUUGCAUAUUUAAUCACCCCCAAAGUUUCAUUUAAUGGAUACCAUCAAUAGUCUCUUGAGUGAUUGAAACAUUUAGUAUGGCUUCUUGAGAGUUUUCUCCC
rnacentral:misc_RNA from 1 species